rnacentral:rRNA from 1 species
AUUGAACGCUGGCGGCAUGCCUUACACAUGCAAGUCGAACGGUAACGGGCCUUCGGGUGCCGACGAGUGGCGAACGGGUGAGUAAUGUAUCGGAACGUACCUUUCAGUGGGGGAUAACGUAGCGCAAGUUACGCUAAUACCGCAUAUUCUGUGAGCAGGAAAACAGGGGAUCGCAAGACCUUGCGCUUAUUCAGCGGCCGAUAUCAGAUUAGCUAGUUGGUGAGGUAAAGGCUCACCAAGGCGACGAUCUGUAGCGGGUCUGAGAGGAUGAUCCGCCACACUGGAACUGAGACACGGUCCAGACUCCUACGGGAGGCAGCAGUGGGGAAUUUUGGACAAUGGGGGCAACCCUGAUCCAGCCAUGCCGCGUGAGUGAAGAAGGCCUUCGGGUUGUAAAGCUCUUUCGGCCGGGAAGAAAUCGUAUCAGAUAAUACCUGGUGCGGAUGACGGUACCGGCAUAAGAAGCACCGGCUAACUACGUGCCAGCCGCCGCGGUAAAAC